GAUUGUAGUCUGCAACCCGACUACAUGAAGCUGGAAUCGCUAGUAAUCGCGGAUUAGAAUGCCGCGGUGAAUACGUUCCCGGGCCUUGUACACACCGCCCGUCACACCAUGAGAGUCGGGAACACCCGAAGUCCGUAGUCUAACCGCAAGGGGGGCGCGGCCGAAGGUGGGUCCGGUAAUUGGGGUGAAGUCGUAACAAGGUAAC
rnacentral:rRNA from 1 species